AUUAAACGAAGUUGAAAGAUCGAAAAGAUCUUCAUGCUCCAAUUUUUAUGAACAUCGUUGAGUGAUUAAGCUUUAAAUAUCGCUUCAUUGGCUGUUCAGGUCUGUUGGUUGAAGUCAAAGUGGUACGGUUUCCCUCGAGCAAUCGAAACAUCUUCUCGAAAUUACUUAGAAAACUUGGGAAGUAUCAAUUAAAAUAUUCACAAUUCAGAAUUUGUUCAUCCUUUAAAAUUUCCCUCUACUUUUUCAUUGGGAAAGAGUUCUAAUAUAUUGCAAUAUUAAGGUAAAAAAAAAAUUGAAAAACAUUAAUUUUUUUCUAAUUUCCCUUAUUUUAUACGGAGAUUGAAGCGUCGUAAAUCAUUCGAAUAUUAGUAAA